rnacentral:tRNA from 2 species
GGGCCGGUUGUCUAGCUCGGUUAGGAUGCAGCCCUUACGCGGCUGAGGUCGCCGGUUCAAAUCCGGUCCGGCCCACCA